CAAAAUAGUAGAAGAGUAAA
rnacentral:miRNA from 10 species